UUUCCCUCAGUGUAUUAUAAGCCUGGCGGGCCACCAGGCUUUACUUGUACCCCCACCAAGCUUAGCAUUGUUAAUUUAACUUAGUGUUUUUUUUAUUAUUGCCUUUUUGCAAGACUUUAUAGUUGCUGUUUAGGUAUUAAACU